UACGUAGGGAGCAAGCGUUAUCCGGAUUUACUGGGUGUAAAGGGCGCGCAGGCGGGCCGGCAAGUUGGAAGUGAAAUCCGGGGGCUUAACCCCCGAACUGCUUUCAAAACUGCUGGUCUUGAGUGAUGGAGAGGCAGGCGGAAUUCCGUGUGUAGCGGUGAAAUGCGUAGAUAUACGGAGGAACACCAGUGGCGAAGGCGGCCUGCUGGACAUUAACUGACGCUGAGGCGCGAAAGCGUGGGGAGCAAACAGG
rnacentral:rRNA from 1 species